rnacentral:lncRNA from 1 species
UUAGCCCAGGUGUGGAGUGUUCUCUCAUACUGCAACCUGGACCCCACAUCACAUGCCGCUGAUCUGACAGUGGACAGAGCUAGGUUGAUCUUUGGCCUAGUCUCUCGCAUGGACAUGAACGUAGGAGCUCUCAUUUCUGGCCAGAUGACUUCUAUAACCCAGUCUAACUCUUCUAGACUUGGGUUUCCUGCUCUGAUCACCGCCCUAUGUAGAGCCAGAGGGGUUGUCUCUGACAGCCUUACUUUUAAGCGCCUUAGCCCGGUCAUUAACUUGGCGAUGGCGAGGCCAGCUGAGCUUCCUUCCACAUCUUCAGCUCCUACUCCAGCAUCCACUUCAGUAGCUCCUUCAGUCCCAGCUCAGAGUGAUUCUCAGCGCUUUGAAGCCAUGCUUCGGAGAAUUCACCACGAACAGAUUAUUUUGCUUCAGAGUUUACAGGUGGUGGCACCUCCAGGAUCCAUUCCUUCCGUUGAGCAGUUUAUGGAGAGGGUAGCCUGGCCUGGGGCCCAACCUUCUCUUCACAGGGAAGAUGAAGGUCCCAUAGCCCAGGUACCAUAGCAUGUAGAGGAUGAGUCAUCCGAGGCCACCAUUCCAGAGCCAUUCAUUGUAGAAGAGGAGGCAGGUGAGACACAGGUUAGACAGGAAGCUACUGCUACUCCUGAGAGAUCUCUUGAAGACACUUCAGAGCCUCCUGCACCAGUCCUGACUCUGAACACUUCUCCUCCAACUACUCCAGUACUUCAUUUGACAGAUGAGGAGGAUGUUCAGACACAGGACACACAGGACCAGUCACAGGAAUUCUAAAUUCCUAAUGAUGCUUUUUGGAUUGUUAUUAUUAUGAUUAUAGUUUUAGUAUAUUAGUUUUUAAUGAUUUUGGUUAAUGUUUAUAUGCACUGCUGUUUUUAUUUAUGGUUAAGUGGUAUGCUUGUUUUGAAGCAUAUAGAACAGUUUGACUUGAUUUUGAUGAUAUUGUAAUGAAACACUUUUAUCUUUUUGUGAAAAUUGGUGUAUGAAUUGAUUUUGGUUUGAAUGCAUGAUUGUGAUGGAGUUUAUGUUUCUUUUCAUGAGUUUGAGCAAGUAUGUAUGUUAGACAAAGAAAGAACAAGAAUGUGAAUCUGCAAUUAGAAUUGUUAGUCAAUAGACAGGUUGAUUGAGAAAGAAAAGCUUGAACCAUAAAAAUCGAAGUUAAAAGAUUAUUUUCUAAUAGUAUCUAAUGUUCAUCCUCUUAUCAAAAAAAGAAAUGAUCAUCCAUCCGCAAUGCAUUUUAUAUUAUUUAUUGCUUUACACUCAUGAUGUUAUUUAUUUCAUUCAAUAAUUAGUACAUUUCUUGACUAUAAAUAUUAACAAUAUAGGAUAAUUGAAACCAAAAUAAAUUCUAUCCUAGAAAAAUAUAAAAAAGAUGUUGAAUAUAUAUAUAUAUUGAAAGAUGAAGGAGAUAAGGAAAAUAAAAAACAAAAAAAUAUAAAAAAUAGGAAAACAUAAAAAUAAGAUGUUUUAAUUAUUGUUUAAAAAAUGGUUAUCUAAAACAAGAUAUCUUUAUUAAUAUUGGCAAAUGAAAAAAGAAUACUUUGAGGUAGAGCUUUUUUUUUUUUUACUAAUUCUCUUUGUCACAACAUUCGGUUUAUAUUUAUUUAAAAUGAAUAUUUUUUAUUAUUCUAUAUUGAAAAUAUACAUACAAGAAAAAUAUGAAUGAAGUAGUAUAACUAAUAAGUCUAAGUUUUGCAUAUAUAUAUAUAUAUAUAUAAAGAAAGAGUAUGGGAUGUUGUAAUUGUAGAAGCAAAGACUUUGAUGUUUUGAUGAUGCCAUGUGAUCAUGUGCUUCUCAAGUUUAAUUUAAGAGGAUCAUGCGCUUCUCAAGUUUAAUUCAAGACAAGAAUCCAAGAAAUUCAAGAUACAACAUCAAGAAAAUCUCUAGAGACAUAGGAAUGGAAUUCCAAGUUGAAACAGCAAGAGGUUUGGCCAUAUGAGUUAAAAUGUUUUUUUCAAGAUAUUUACUCUCUGGUAAUCGAUUACCAGAGGAUGUAAUCGAUUACCAGUGACCAAAAUGAUUUGAAACUAUUUAUAACAGCCAUUAGAAAUUUGAAUUCAAAUUUUACAAUGUGUAAUCGAUUACGUAAUCGAUUACCAGCAGUUACAGAACGUUUUAAUUCAAAUUUUAAAGCUUGUAAUCGAUUACACAAGUCUUGUAAUCGAUUACUAGAGGAGAUUUUCAAAAAAUAAUUUCCAAGAGUCACAUCUGUUCAAAUGGUUUUUGAAUGGCCAUCAAAGGUCUAUUUGUAUGUGACUUGGAACACAAAUCUGCUUAGAUUUUUUCAGAACAAAAAGGUCUUAUCCUCUCAAAAGCAAAAUUAUCUUAUCCUCUUAAAAAUUCCUUGGACAAUACACUUGCGAUUCAAUAAGGAAUUAUUUUGAGUUCUCCAUUGUUCAAUCUAUCUCUUUCAAGAGAGAUUUCUUCUUCUCUUCAUCUUAUUUCUAAAAAGGGAUUAAGAGAUCGAGGAUCUCUUAUUGUAAAGCAAUCUGAACACAAAGGAAGGGUUGCCCUUGUGUGGUUUAGAACUUGUAAAGGGCUUUUGCAAGAUUGUGGAACUCUCAAGCGGGUUGCUUGGGGACUAGACGUAGGCACAAGGGUGUGGCCGAACCAAUAUAAAUUUGAGUUUGCAUUUUUUUUCUUUUCCCUUAAACUCUUUUAUUUAUUAUUGUUUAUUGCUUCUAUUCAGUAAGUUUAAUUUGCAUAAUUAUUUAGGAAUUCAUUUUGAAAGGAAUCUUGGGAUUUGGGUUAAAAUCAAAAUAGAAUUUUUAAUUAGAAAAAAGUUUGUAAUGUCUUAAUUCAACCUCCUUCUUAAGAUAUUUGAGGCCACUUGUCUAACAGUAAUCUUUAAAAUAUUAUUUAUAUGUAAAAUAUUAUGAAAUCUCCUAAUUAAUUAUUAUAUAGAAUAAAUAAUAUCAUGACCACAAAAUAUUAAACAAAAUUAUAUUUCGAGUUGGAAGAACACCAAAAGCUAUCCGCCAGAGUGAGAAAGAGUUGGAAGAAUCCCUAAUGGAUGAAAAAAAAAUUAUUCUUUUAUUGUGAAAGGUAGUAGGGUUGUUGGAACCUGGAAACACCCUUGGGUUGACACAUUGGUCUCAGAAAUAUUAAAUUUUGUAAAAUUAGGAUAGAGCCUACUUGAGUAAUCCGUAUGGUUCGCAUGGAUUGACAAUCUGUAUGUACCAUAUGGAUAAUCCGUAUGGGUCAUAUAGAUUAUCAAUUCGUAUGUCUAAUAGUUCAAAAAAAAUAUCAUUUUCACGCAAAGUCAAACAAAAUGCAAAAAUAACUAUCAUCGUCGACAACCAACAACCAAAACACAAUGAUUCAAACAAAACAAUGCACAAACAAACCCAAAAUGAUAAAGAGAAUAACUUACCUUAAAAGAGAACGAAAAUGCGUCAAGCCAAUGAAGGGAGAAGAAGAUAAGAAACCACAACGAAGAAGAAGUUUGCUACACAAAUAGACCAAGGAACGAAGAAAAAGCAAGGAAGAAGAAGAACCACCCAAGGAAAAAAAAAACACCAACAAAGAAAAAGCAAAAAUAAUGAUUUGUACGAAUAAAUAACUUCUUUUAUUUAUAAAAAAAAGUGAAAGAUAUUUUAAUCUUUUAUCUUAGUUACCAAGGUGAAAGAUAUUUUAAUUUUUUAUCUUACUUACCAAGUGUCUUAAAAAAAUGGAAGUUUCCUUCAAUCUCGGUGAGAUCACUUUUUAUCUAUCGUGCCACUUAAAUGGAAGAGCAAGUAAGACUCAAUGACACUAUUUCUUCUUUCCAAUGAUACGCAUGGCAAUAAAGAUUUGCACAUUUGCAUUGUCAAACUAUUCCUUGCAACUGUCAAAUGAUAUGUUUGUGUCUGGUUUUUCAUUCCUUCUAUCCAUCAGCCGUAAGUCACGUCAACUUUGGAUGAUGAAAAAUCAUAUUUGAUAUAAGCCUCUCGGCAAAUCUAAAGCCAAUAGUCGUCACUAUACCAUUAGCUAUGAUAAAUAUUAAUUUCCUUAUGCCAUUUCCUUAUACUAAAAGUAUAUGUGGUGCAAUUAGAAUAUUAUGUUGAAGCAUUAGUGUAUUUUUAUAUUAUAUAUUAGUGUUAACUUUGGGUAUUUUCUUAAACUCCACGGACUCGGUGUCUGUGGACCUGCUAUUUCUACAAGAUUCGUACCAGCGUACCCUGGCCGAGCUUUGCUUGAUACCGACUCCACACUAUCUUCCAUAUGGUGGAUGAACCCUAUGCUAGUAUAACUUCAACAUGUCGGGGUCGACCAGUAAAUUAAGUGCGGCUAAUGGCCGCAGAGAUGCCCAUUGAGUUAAUAAACAAUCCAAUUAUUUCAUAUAUUUAAUAAGUAAUAAUAACGUCAACAUAACCAUGUGUUUAAAUCCAACCCAAGUUAAAUAGAAUGUUCAACAUACCAGGACCUGACCCUUGUGCACAGCAAGAUAAGUUAACGGCUUUUCCCAGUGCAAGAUGGAUUGUGCAUUGUGAAGAGGUGAGGGUAGACAUGGAGCAGUUGAACCCACCAUGUUCUAAACAAUAUGAUGCAAAAGCAACAGCUUGCUCAUAGGCAUCAUGAAGAAUUUACUUUGGCCAUCAUGCCUGUUGGUUCUUAUCCUUUGUUCAGCUACCAAAGAACCUACAAGAUAAAAAAAAACAGAAAACACAGCAAAGCAAUACACAACAGAGCAAGAACCCAAGGAUUUAUGUGGUUCGGCAAUGUGCCUACAUCCACGGGAAAGUGCAGCUCCUCAUCAUCACAUUGAUCAUGAAGUUACAAGUUCAAUACAAGCAGUAGCUAGCUUUGAUCUCUCUUGGUUUCUCUUUUGAAAACCACUCUCAAUCUCCUAGCUCACUACCUCCUAUAUGAACUCUCUGAAUUUUCUGCAACUCUUUUGUUUUGCUAAAGAAAACUCUCUCUGCAUUACAUGAUCAAGAGUAUAUAUACACUCUAAAAGCUAGUCCUAGGAACAAAGGCUAUACUUUGGUGCCAAAACCAAUUCAUUUAUAAUAACUGAAAACAGUUAUGACAACACCACUUUAAAGCCUUCUCACUUGUGCCUUUUGUGAUUUUGAAUCACAUACAACAAAUCUCUACCUUGAUUAUAAAUCAGCAAGUGUCUAUCUUGUGAUUCAGGGCUGCACUUCUACCAAUCUGCUUUAGGCAUCUUCAAAAUUUAUGAAGUUCAGGCAGUGCUUGAACUUGACACUAGAUAGGGACUUUGUAAACAUAUCAGCCGGGUUUUCUUUUGUUGAAACCUUCUCCACCUUCACCUUCUUAGAUUCAAUCACAUCUCUGACGAAGUGUAGUUUCACAUCUAUGUGCUUUGUCCUCUCAUGGUACAUUUGGUGAUUUGCUAAGUGGAUGGAACUUUGACUGUCAUAGUGAAUUGUGACACAUGACUGUGCUAUUCCAAGUUCAUUUACCAUGCUUUUAAACCAAAUUGCUUCCUUCACUCCUUCAGCUAAGGCCAUGUACUCUACUUCAGUUGUUGAAAGAGUAACAACUGAUUGUUGAUUUGCUUUCCAACUGAUUGUUGUACCAAACAAAGAAAAUACAUAUCCAAUUAUGGACUUUCUUAUAUCUACAUUUCCUGCAAAAUCUGCAUCUACAUAGCCUGUGAUUGCUGCCUCACGUGCUGUCUUCUUGUACCUUAAUCCAGCUUUCAAAGAUCCAUUUAGAUACCUUAGUGUCCACCUCACCACUUCCCAGUGUGCACUACCAGGAUCUCCCAUGAAUUUGCUUAUAAUACUUACAGCAUGAGCCAAGUCAGGUCUGCUACAAACCAUUCCAUAUAUUAUGCUUCCAACACCACUGGCAUAGGGUGUUUGAUUCAUUUUAGACCUUUCUUCAGCUGUUUCUGGUGCUUGAAUGACAGAUAGCUUUGUAUGAUGGCCAAGUGGUGUACUAACAGGUUUGCUUUGAUGCAUCCUAAACCUUUCCACCACUUUCUUGAGGUAGUUGCUUUGGGACAGGAAUAGUUCACCCUUUGCUCUAUCCCUAUGAAUAUCAAUCCCGAGUAUCCUUCUAGCUGACCCUAGAUCUUUCAUCUCAAAUUUUGUGUUCAAGCAUUCUUUGAGUUUCCUAAUCUCUUCUUUAUUAGCACUCGCUAUGAGGAUGUCAACCACAUAUAAGAGAAGGUAAAGAACACACACUUUCCCAUUUUUCAGGAUAUAUACACAAUUGUCAUAUCUGUUUCUAAUGAAGCCAAAUUUGAUCAAGAACUCAUCAAAUUUCUGGUACCACAUUCGAGGGCUUUGCUUCAGUCCAUACAAGGAUUUUUUCAGCAAGCACACCUUGUUCUCCCCUUCUUCAAAACCUUCAGGUUCGUUCAUGUAAAUGGUUUCCUUCAGAUUUCCAUGGAGAAAAGUUGUUUUAACAUCUAGCUGUUCAAGUUCCAAAUCAUAUUGAUUUACCAGACCAAGUACGAUUCUUAUGGAACAAUUCUUCACAACUGGUGAAAAAAUCUCAUUGUAAUCAAUUCCUUCAACCUGUGUAAAUCCUUUUGUUACCAAUCUUGCCUUGAAUCUAGGCCUUUCUACUCCUGGUAUGCCUUCUUUUUUCUUGAAAAUCCACUUACAUCCAACAACCUUUUGCUUCUUGGGUUGAUCCACAAGUAUCCAGGUCUUCUUCUUUCUCAAAGAUUCCAUUUCUUCACUCAUUGCAUGAAGUCACAGCUGGCUAUCUUCACUUUCAAUUGCUUCCCUCCAGGUCUUUGGUUCUGAAUUUUGAAUCUCCUCAGCAACACUCAAGGCGUAGCAUAUAAUAUAAGCAUGACCAUACCUCUUUGGAGGCUUUAUCACCCUUUUUUCUCUAUCUCUAGCCAAUUGAUAAUUGGACAAGUCAUGCUGAGUAACCAGCUCUUCAUUAUCUCCAGCUUCUCCUUGAUCAGUGUGAUCAAUAGCAUCUCCACUGUCAUGAUCUGAAAUCUCAGAAUGCUCCACCUCAAAAUUGGUAUUCUCACUACUUGAGCUGUUAUCCUUUUGCUCCUUACUUAGCAUUGCCAUUCUGCUCUCAUCAAAGGUUACAUCCUUGCUGAUGAUGCAUCUUGUCUCACUAGGUUCCAAUUUCCAUAGCUUGUACCCUUUAACUCCUUCAAGAUAGCCAAUGAACACACCUUUUACAGCCCUUGCAUUCAGCUUUCCUUAUUUAACAUGAGCAAAGGUCAGUGAUCCAAACACCCUUAAUUCUGAGUAAUCAGGUGGUUCACCACUCCAAGCUUCCAUUGGUGUCUUGAAACCUAAGGCUGAUGAAGGGCAUCUGUUAAUUAAAUAUGUUGAUGUGUUUGUAGCUUCUCCCCAAAAGGUCUUUGGCAGUCCUGCACUUAGUAGCAUCCACCUCACUCUUUCCAAAAUGAUCUUAUUCAUCCUUUCUGCUAAACCAUUCUGCUGUGGUGUGUGAGGGACUGUUUGUGCCUUUUCAUGCCUAUUUUCCUGCAAAACUCAUUGAACUGCUCUGAAACAAACUCCAGGCCAUUGUCAGUCCUUAAAACUUUUAAUUUUGUACCAAGUUGAUUUCCAAUAAGAGUAUGUCAUUCUCUGAAUUUUUGAAAAGAUUCUGACUUAUUUUUCAAAACAUACAACCAUACUCUUCUUGAGAAAUCAUCUAUGAUGGUGAGAAAGUAUGAGCUUCCACCAUGAGUUUUCACUCUAGAUGGUCCCCAUGAAUCAUAAUGCACAUACUCAAAAGGCCUAGAUGAAAAAUGAAUACUCGUGCCAAAGCUUAUUCUAUGUGAUUUACCAAGCACACAAUGAUCACAAAAUUCAAGUUUAUCUAGUUUAUCACCACCUAACAGAUUUUGUUUCUCAAGUUCAUGUAAUCCUCUUUCACUAACAUGACCUAAUCUCAAAUGCCAGAGUUUUGUUUUAUCAAUCAAUGUAUUACUAGCUACCGAUGCAUGUCCAAUAAUAGUGGAACCUUCAAGAAUAAACAAGCCAUUACUUUUAUUCUUGUUACCCUUAGCUAUGAUUAAAGAUCCAUUUGAAAUCUUAAGAACACCAUUUGGAAUUCUAGUUGCAUAUCCUAGAUCAUCAAACAUGUUUAUGGAAAUAAGAUUCCUUUUGAGUUUUGGAAUGUACCUUACAUUUUUCAGUAGAUACUCUCUGUUAUCAAACAUCUUCAAUCUCAUAGUUCCAAUGCCUUGUACCUUGCAGGGGUAGUUGUCUCCUAGCAAUAUAGCUCCUGCUAGUUUUAGUUCCAGGGUCUCAAAAUAGUCCUUUCUCGGGCUGCUGUGAUAUGAGCAUCCAGAAUCCAUAAUCCAUUCUGUUUGUGUUUUGAUAUUAGAAGCUACUAAAACACCUGCACUCUCAUAACCUUCAGAGGCUUCAACUAUGUCAGCAGAGUCCAAAGAUCCUUUCUUGAUCUUGUCUGGACAGUCUUUCUUGAAAUGACCAAUUUUAUGACAACUAAAGCAUUUGAACUUUGUUUUCUGGCCAUUCUUUGAAUCCCUUGACCUUGAUCUGGACUUCUUUCCUCUUGUUCCCUUCUUUUCACUCCUUCCCCUUGAAAUAUUCAAGCUUUCACCAUUAUCCUCAUAUUUGGAAUCUUGUUGUUUUUGCAUCUCCUUGGUCCUUAUUGAGGUAUUAUGUCAUUGUGAUACUUAUGUGCUUAUUACAUGUUUUUUGAUAUAUCAGUAUUGUUUUAUAUUAAAGUUAUGUGCAUUGUGAGUGAACUUUAGUUUUCCGUUUGAGAUUCAAUACAAUGAUUAAUAUAGAUAAUUUGGACAGUUUACGAAGAGUCAUUUUUUAUACAUAAUUCAUACUUAUAGGUUAAGUAUGUUGUGUUAAAUUUGAUGAAAUUUAUGUUUAUUGCAUAUCGCUUUGUUCUUCGGGUGCACACUUGAUCAUGGUGAAUUCAUCUCACCGCUUUCAUGUCGUGUACUUGGAGAUUAAUGCGAAAUGCUUCCAAAAUUUCAUCAAAUUUAACAAAACAUACUUAACUUAUACGUAUGAAGCAAGUAUAAAAAAAUGUCUUUCUGAAUGGGACAGGAUCACACCUUUUAUGAAAAAAGUGAGAUUUUUAUGCACAUAGGAUAACCUUGUGAGUAUGAUAGAAGAGGAAAAAUAGAUCAAAGUUGGAUGAAAGCAUCAUGCAUAAAUGACGAGUAUGAGAAUGAGGUUGAAUAAUUCUUACAAUUUACUGAACGAAAUGCACAAAUUAUAGGUGAAAAAUAUUAAUGUUCAUGUGUUGAAUGUGGGAAUGGAAAACGACAAUCAGUAAAUGACAUAAGAUCACAUUUUAUAUGUGAGGAGAUCAUUCCAAAUUAUACAAAAUGGAUAUGACAUGGUGAAUUUCCCAACAUGCCAACAAUCUCUCACACUGAGCCUAUUGACGUUGACAUUAGAGGUUGUACAUGAUACGCGAUCUUGGAUAAGAAUGUUUUUGGCAAGCACAUAUGCCUUUUUAUGAGAAAUUACUAAGUGAUUCAAAGAAGUCAUUGUAUUUAGGGUGCACAAUCUUCACACGAUUGUCAGCGGUGUUAGCUUUGGUCAACUUGAAGGCAAGAUUUAGGUGGAGUGAUAGAAUCUUCAUUGAAUUGCUUGUUUAUUGAAGAAGAUGCUUCCUAAAGAUAACACGUUAGCCAAAAAUUACUACGAGGUGAAGAAGAUAUUAUGUUCUAUGGGUAUGAAGUACAAAAAAUACAUGUAUGUCAUAAUGAUUACAUAUUGUAAAGAAAUCAGUUUGUCGAAAUACGAAUUUUCAAUUAUACAACAACUAUUUGGUAAAAGUUUUUGUACUACUUAGUACUAUUGUUUGUAUUUAUAGAGAAUAUAGCUUUUGGAUUUGCAAAAAUUGAUUAAUUAGAUGACUUUAAAUGUGAAUGCAAAAUUGGUUCUUGUAUAGAUGAUCAUUUAAGAAAAAAAAAUUAAAUAUGUCAAUCUUAAUUAAUUAACUUUUUAAUUAUUACAUAUGAAUUAUGUUUUUUACUUUUAUAUAUAUAUAUAUAUAUAUAUAUAUAUAUAUUUAAUAUUAAAGUGAAAAAAGUUAGAGUUUAAUUAUCAUACAUUAAUAAUUCUAUAGUAUCAUACAAUCAUAAAUUAUCAUGGAUAUUAUUUUUAGAAUAAUUAUUAUAAAAAUAAAUAAACAUAUAAUACAUGACAUAUUAUGAUGGUAAACAGUGCAAAAUCUAUUUCUGAUAAAUUUAAUAGCCAUUUGAUCCCGUACGCUUAUUAUGCCCCCAAAUCGCCCCAUAAAUAUUUAUGUUUGGUAAUUAUUAUAUUAUUUAUAAUUUUUAACUUAAUAAUAUUUUAAAAAAUUUAUGAAUUGAUGUUCAUUUCACGUAAAUUAUAUAUUUAAAAUUUUAUAUUAAUUUAAAAUUAUUUUUUAUUUGGUUUAUAAACUAAAAUUAAGGUAAUAUAAAUAUUUUAAAAUAUAGAUUAUUAAAAUAUAGAUUAUUUGAUUACUUUUUUUAUUUUUAUUUAAUUUUGAAAAAAUUACUAUAAAAGAUUUUGAUAAUAGAUAAAUAUAAUUCAAUGACAAUGAUAAAUAAAAAUAACUUUAUAUAUUAAAUUAUAAAAAUAAUAUAAUAAUUAUCAAAGUUACAUCUGUAUAAUUUGAUUUCUUUUCUUCUAAAAUAAGUUGAUAAAAUUUAAUUGAAUUAUGAUAAUUUCGGAUCAUAUAAUAAUUUUCCUUUCUAACCUCACAAAUAUAUUGCUUUCGUUUUGGUUGGAUAUGAUAAUUAUAUUUGUAGAAGUUUUUUGUGUUAAGAUUAAAAAUAAUAUUUAUGGCGGGUAUAUUUUUAAUAAUAUCAUGCUAACAUGAAGUUCUUAGUCGAAGAAUUAAUUGGGGAGACACAAUAUCUUAUUUUGGAUAAUAACAACACUGUCUGUCAUACACAGAUAUACAUACAGCAUACGUUAUCAAUCAAUGUUCAAUAAAGUGAAUAAAUUCAAUAGCAACGUGAUCAAGUACACUUAUUACAAACAAUACAAUGCCCGAAUCACCCUUAAUUAAAUUUGCUUUCAGUAGCCAUGCCUUGUGGACCAUGAUGUAUUUAUGGUUAUGGCUAUUUUUUUAUGUAAUAUAAAAGUUAUUUUUUAAUUUAUAAUAAGAGAUAAUAAAAUUUAAUUAUAUAUUACAUGAAUAUUAAUUGAAUUAUGGUGAUUUUGGAUUGUAUCAUAAUUUUUCCUUUCAUACCUCACAAAUAAAUUGCUUUUUUUUUCCCUGGAGAAUUGUUGAACCAUUUUCUUUUUUAUUUUUAAUAUGUAGGAAUCAAAUAUAGUAUAAGAAUUUACAGUAACUGAUACAUCCUUCCUCAAUCAAUGAGUUAUGUCUCCUUGAUAAAGUAUUUUUCUUUUUAGAUUAAAAUUGAGAUUGAAAUAAUACAAUCUUGUAUUCAACCAAGCAAAACUACGCUUAUGUGAACCUAUAAUGACCCAAGAUGUCCUAAAGGUAUUCGACCACACCAUACAUAUAGGUAUUCGGCCAAAAAAUAAAUAACAUUUAUCUAAAUUUGAUUUUUGAUAAAAAAAAAAAUAAUUCUUCGUCAAACUUUAUUUAUUUUUCGGACGAAUUCCAGAUUAGUUAGAAUCACUUCCCUUCCAUAAAUUAGAGAAUUAAGACAAAACAAAUAACACUUAUAUGGCCUUAUAAUGGCCUAAGGUGUCCUAUACGUAUUCAGCUAAAUACCCACUUGGACCUCCUCUCACGACCAACAAAAUGAGAUUCACAAGAGAUUAAGUUAAACCAAAGGCUUAGGUCACAUAAGCUCACUUAGAAGGAAAUUACCUAGAUGGUAAUCCGCCUACCAAGACCACGGUCCAAGGCUAAAAAUGUUUGUAUAAAUAAAAUUAGAACCCAGGUAAAAACUCUUGUGCCUAAUAUUAAUAUAUUUGUUUUGCCGAUAAAAAAAACUGGUUGAUCCGAUCUUAUCCUAUAUAUUGUCACGUUUUAAGUAGGUUAGGUUCACCUAAAAAGAUUGACCCCUAUCAAAAUAUUGAAUGAGAGACAGAAAUAAACACGUACGGAGUCAUGGAUAAACAUUAUUAGUAGCACUAGUAUGUCUAGACGGAGUAAAACACCUAUUAUUAUAUAAUUUUUGUGACAAACAUUAUUAGUAGCACCAGCCUCUAGCAAGCUAGGGCGUUAUUACAUUUUUCUUUUGUCACAUUUAACUACGAUGUUUGAAGUUAGAUGGCCUCAUUGAGCACAAAGCUUGGAAGAUCCAAAGCAUCAUUGCUGCUACCAUCUGACAACUUGGAAGCAAAAGACCAAGAAAUCACAUCAUGGGUUUCAACGGAGCCUUCAUGCAACCCGGUGGUGGCAGAGAACCCAACGCUCACCCAUUCGGGAAGAUUACUCUUCAAGUUCACUGUGUCAGAGAGGAUGUAACUUGUUUUCUUUGAAGGGUGGAUCAGAGAAGCAACCAAGAGGCUCGUGGCGGCAUUAUAGGUAACGAGAAUCUCCGCCACUUGUCCAUUGGACAACCCCCACGAUGCCGUUUUGACGGACUUGAUCGAGUUCACGUCAAUGCCGAUGUGUCGGUUUGCAGGAUCCCAUUUUUUGUUCGAGAAAGUAUCGAACUCAAUCGCCACGGUUUGGAGAGACUUGUCCUUUAAGGGACUGUUGAAAAGACCAAGAAAUCCAUCGUCGGAUUGGGGCUGAGACCCGACGGGUGCCAAGAAGAAGGCAAGCCCGUCAGCUGAGUUUGAUUUGUUGGGUGCGAAAAUGUUGAAUUUAAAGGAUGUAGCCCAGCUGGCUACCUUGCCGGUUUCGCUGUCCCAAAUCUGGAUUGGGGCAGCGUAAAGGGCACGACCGAGAGAUCCCGAGGUGGGCACGCCGUUGCUGCCAACUUUGGUGAGUUGUAACACCCCAGAGGAUGAAAUACUAGCAUCUUUUUGGAGCAUAAUGUUUGGUUGGACUGGGUUGAACUUGUUGAAGGUGAAAGAAACGGUAUCGGUCGAGUGUGCCUUGGUAAGUAGCACCAAAAAGAAGGCUAGGGAGACGGAGAGAACAAUAGAGAAGUUGGAGGUGGCCAUGGCUUUGAUUUGUUUGAACUCAAAUAUAAUGCAUAGGACUUUCAUCGGGUUGUGUAUUUAUAGUGCAAGGAUAGGACUAUGACUG